AAUGAAUUUGAAAAGCACCUUUGAUCCACAAUUAAAGUUUGGUAAAGGUUAUACCAAAAAGAAUGAAUUAACGUAAGAUCAAUAUGCGUUUUGAAGAAAAAUGGGACGGAGGUAAAUAUAAGAACUACAAAUAUGGAUAUGGAAGGAAACGUAUAUUCAUCUUAGCAAAAUAGGCAUUUGUCAAAAUUGUAGGAAUAGCUUUUUCUUUUCCUUUUUCCGGCCACCUUCAAGGGUUUCCCGUUGCCUUGGUGCGGACUGAAGUAUUGGGGUUGUAUUGUAGCCGAUUCACGACCAAUGAAUUGCGGCACUAAUCCAAUGGAUUCGCUCAUUUGUCCCAAACCUCGUCGUCUUGGGGAUCCCGUUAGCCAUUCUAAUUGCCUUCCCUUGAGAAAUCAAGCUGCGGCCUUUGUUUCAAAAGGUGGAGCUUAACUUAUUGAUCUCAUUUUCAAAGAGGAUGGCAUAGCUGCAACACAAUACACAUCUGAUUUGUCGUCAUCCCCUCCUUUCUUCUCUGGUUCACCGCCUUGCAGGGCUAUGAAUCCAUUAAUCCCUGAUGCUCGCUUUACAAAUGAAAAGCAACCCCGUUUUUCAUCAUCACCAAGUACAUUGACUUCAGCUUCAUCUUCUCCAUCAUCAAGUUUUAAAGGAAGGUGUUCAAGGGCAAGACUUGGGCAAACUCAAUCACCAAAUAGAGUAGAGGGCUUUGACUGCCAAAACUCUCGCAUGGCUGCUACGGCUUAAAAAUCUUCCUUACCGAGAAGUAUAUAAAGACAACAGCUCAACAAUGUAUAUAGAAUAUCUAGAAAAUAAGAACAAGAUUUUGGAGAAUUUAUUAGCAAUUUGUUAGAGGGGAAAGUUCUGGUUUUUCGUUAAUAUUAUUGUGCAACGAUGUGGCUGUUGCACAUUUAUUGAAAUAAGGUGGUUGAGAGUUAGUUUUGUUUUUGUGCUGUCUGUAAAUGCUCUCGAUUGAUUUUGGUGCCACAAAUUUUUGACAAUUUGAAAACUUGUAGUAUUGUAUAUAUGUGAAAUUUGGAAUAGGAAGUGGUGAUCGAGUUUCAUUUUCUCCCCGAA